rnacentral:rRNA from 1 species
AGCGAACGCUGGCGGCAGGCCUAACACAUGCAAGUCGAACGAACCUUUCGGGGUUAGUGGCGGACGGGUGAGUAACACGUGGGAACGUGCCUUUAGGUUCGGAAUAACUCAGGGAAACUUGUGCUAAUACCGAAUGUGCCCUUCGGGGGAAAGAUUAAUCGCCUUUAGAGCGGCCCGCGUCUGCUUAGCUAGUUGGUUGAGGUAAUGGCUCACCAAGGCGACGAUCAGUAGCUGGUCUGAGAGGAUGCUCAGCCACAUUGGGACUGAGACACGGCCCAAACUCCUACGGGAGGCAGCAGUGGGGAAUCUUGCGCAAUGGGCGAAAGCCUGACGCAGCCAUGCCGCGUGAAUGAUGAAGGUCUUAGGAUUGUAAAAUUCUUUCACCGGGGACGAUAAUGACGGUACCCGGAGAAGAAGCCCCGGCUAACUUCGUG